rnacentral:lncRNA from 1 species
GCAAGAUGUUUUUAGUGUACAUGUAGCUAGCUAUAUACAACUUAUAGUGACGAAUCUAUGAAUUACCUUUUCUUGUUUACGCAUCAUAACUUGUUAUGCCUUUUACCUUAAGUUAUGCUUACAGAAGAAUAAAUUUCCCACCCUAUCUACAGUGUUCUUCACAACGUAUAAUACAUAUUAUAGCCAAAUCACGAAAAAUAUGAAAAAACUUCCAGUCCGAUCUCUUGAACCUCAG